CCUACGGGCGGCUGCAGUAAGGAAUAUUGGUCAAUGGACGCAAGUCUGAACCAGCCAUGCCGCGUGGAGGCUGAAGGUCCUCUGGAUUGUAAACUUCUUUUAUUUGGGAAGAAACUCCCGAUUUCCAUCGGGAUUGACGGUACCAGAUGAAUAAGCACCGGCUAACUCCGUGCCAGCAGCCGCGGUAAUACGGAGGGUGCAAGCGUUACCGGGAUUCACGGGGUUUUAAGGGUGCGGGGAUGGCAGUGUAGAAAUCUUCGGGCUUAACCCGGAAACUGCCAUUGAUACUAUUUGUCUUGAAUACUCUGGAGGUGAGCGGAAUAUGUCAUGUAGCGGUGAAAUGCUUAGAUAUGACAUAGAACACCCAUUGCGAAGGCAGCUCACUACGGAAAUAUUGACGCUGAGGCACGAAAGCGUGGGGAUCAAACAGGAUUAGAUACCCUUGUAGUC
rnacentral:rRNA from 1 species